rnacentral:lncRNA from 1 species
GCAGCCACCCAAGCAUCAGGUCCAGGACCUGAAAUCUCUUAAGAAGAGGUUGAUACAAGUUUCUCUCAGAUCUGGAGUUGAUCUGAGGUCGUUUGAGGCGCGGGUGAGAUCUCCAUCAACAGAUCUACAAGAAAGGCUGCAACAGGACAUAUCUGCAAGGUCUGUCUCCAUCUAUCUUCUUCCCUAUCUAGAAUGCCCCGAUUCAAGAUCUACAAAUUGGAAGACCUCGGUCCAGGCCUGAUCUGGUUGGGUACCAGAUCUUGAAUUUUUCAGAGGUGAUUUCAGAGACGUUCUUCAUCUGGAACCAAAGGCUGAUGAAGAAGACAGCAACCAGACUGAUUUUGUCAAGGGCCUUAGAUCGAGUCCAGAAGUCUCCAGAUCUGUUCAUUGCUGGUUCCGCUGCACUCAAGGUCCAUGGGAGGAGCCAGGAUCGUACUCCAACAUAGCCUUGGUCCCCUGGGCCUUGGGCACACCACCUGGAUCACAACAGUCUCUCAUAGAGGUAUCAUUUCAAGCUACGCCAAAAUUAUCUGGAAAAUCCCCAUUCCUGAGAAAGUGAAGAUCCUCAAUUUGCUUGCCUAUCAUAAUAGAAUACUAAUAUCAGAAAACUUGAGGAAGAGAGCGAUGAUAGGCCC